UGUAUCUGAAGCCUGAAGAGGAUGAGAAUCUCCGGGGGCAAGAGGUUCGACCCGAGCGAAGCGAGAGAACGUUGCGUCAGCAACGGCCCGCAGGGCGAGCCAUCCUCUAUCACCGGCAG
rnacentral:sRNA from 3 species